ACAAGAUGAAAUCAUUCAGUCAGCAAGACACUUGCUGCAGUUGCUGACAUGAUCCAACCGAGCUGCUGCUGUGAUGAAUCAGAAUACAAGAGAACAGAGUCAAGGUGGCCAGGGUACCAGCUUGGUCAACCCUGAAAGACCGUCCGUUCAUCAAGAAAUGACCAGGUGAAAAAGUCAUAAACUAAACACUCUGCAUGAGCAUAGAAUUUAGGAUGCAACUUUAUAUCUUACCUGCUCUACACUCAGGGCUUGAAUUACAACAGUCAAUCACAUAAAAAAAAAUAUAUACUUUUGGUAGUUCUGUGUCUCUGUCUCUCCUCCAAACCCAGAUGGCUGCUGGUACUGAACCGGGUUCUGGUUCUGCUGGAGGUUUCUUCUUGUUAAAGGGGAGUUUUUCCUCUGCACUGUCACUUCAUGCUGCUCAGUGUGAGGGAUUGUUGAGGUUGUGUCCAUAUGUCCUGGGAACAACUGCUGGGCAAUGACACCAUGCAAUCUUCUGGGAUUCCUUAGAAAACCUGUGAACUGCACUUGUCCUUGGUCUUCACAGCUCACCUUUUUACUGUUUAUUGAAUCAAAAUGCUCCAGUGACAUGGAUUCUACAUUGUAACUGAUGUGAUGUUCUAUAAAGUGGUUUUAAUAAAAAAAAAAGAGGCAAAAAUUA